rnacentral:tRNA from 1 species
AAGAUACUAGUAAAAAGACAUUACACUGCUUUGUCAGGGCAAAAUUGCGAGUUUAAUCCCCGCGUAUCUUA